GCGCGGAAGGGUUGUAGGACAUGAAAAUGAUAUGGCACUGGACUUAUGGGAUGAACACAAGAACACUCGAAACUAAGGGUAGAUGUGAACCUAACGGUAUACCUGAAGCUUUGAUUACCACUUGAUGAGAACAAGGGUGGCCCGAUCUUCUGAAAGGUUCUCGUAACUCUCGAUUUGGUGAAGACGAGACACAAAUCUAUGUGGCUUCCGAACAACACGAUCCGAAACCCCGCAUUUUUUUAUUUUUUUAAUAUUUUUCAUUUACUUAGGAGCACUAAAGAAGUAACCACAGAAAAUUUGAGCUUAAUCAAGUAAAAGACGUGGCCUGCGGAAUUUUGUGAAGAUUACAAAAAAUGUGAAAAAAACUUCACAAGGUGAAAACUCAAACUUCGAAGACGAAUUUGGAGAUUCUAAAAUUUUCAAACCCCCUAAAACUGAGGACAGACAGACACUAAAUUUUUUUUUGAUCGAUUUUGAUAUAUGGAACAUUGAAAUCGGAGUUUGUAUGUGAAAGUUAUGGCUGUUUUACGAACGGACUCCGAAUUUGAGGACAAAACGGUCCGAAAGUGGGAAAAAGUUGCGUCGAUGGCUAGAAAUUGAUGGAAACGGUGGGAAAAAACACAAACUGGACUCUAACAAGACCUAACCAGCAACAAGACCUCGUCCAGGACACAAACUCAAAACUGCGGACUCGGAAACUGAAAUAUGCAAAGGCUAUGGCGCGGAAGGGUUGUAGGACACAAAAAUGAUAUGGCACUGGACUUAUGGGACAAACACAAGAACACUCGAAACUAAGGUUAGAUGUGAACCUAACGGUAUACCUGAACCUUUGAUUACCACUUGAUGAGAACAAGGGUGGCCCGAUCUUCCGAAAGGUUCUGUUAACUCUCGAUUUGGUGGAGACGAGACACAAAUCGAUCCGGCUUCCGAACAACACGAUCCGAAACCCUGCAAUUUUUUUUAUUUUUUUGAUAUUUUUCUUUUACUUAGGUGCACUAAAGAAGUAACCACAGAAAAUUUGAGCUUAAAUAAGUGAAAGACGUGGCCUGCGAAAUUUUCUAAAUUUUGUGAAAAAAGUUUAAAAAACUUCACGAGGUGAAAACUUAAACUUCGGAGGCGUAUUUGGAAAUUCUAAAAUUUUCAAACCCGCUAGUGGUAGGGACAGGCAGACCCAAAAUUUUUUUCUGAUUGAUUUUGAUAUAUGGAACAUUGAAAUCGGAGUUCGUACGCGAAUGUUAUGGCUAUUUUACGAACGGACUCUGAAUUAGAGAACAAAACGGUCCGAAAGUGGGAAAAAUUUGUGGCGAUGGCUAGAAAUUGAUGGAAACGGUGGGGAAAAACAUACUAACUGGACUCUAACAAGACCUAACCAGCAACAACCUCGACCAGGACACAAACUCAAAACUGCGGACUCUGAAUCUGAAAUAUGCAAAAGCUAUGGCGCGGAAGGGUUGUAGAACAGGAAAACAAUAUGGCACUGGACUUAUGGGACGAACACAAGAACACUCGAAACUAAGGGUAGAUGUGAACCUAACGGUAUACCUAAAGCUUUGAUUACCACUUGAUGAGAACAAGGGUGGCCCGAUCUUCCGAAAAGUUUUGGUAACUCUCGAUUUGGUGGAGACGAGACACAAAUCGAUACAGCUUCUGAAUAACACGAUCCGAAACCCUGCAUUUUUUUAUUUUUUUGAUAUUUUUAUUUUACUUAGGAGUGCUAAAGGAGUAACCACAGAAAAUUUGAGCUUAAGCAAGUGACAGACAUGGCCUGUGGAAUUUUCUGAAGAUUGUGAAAAAUGUGAAAAAACUUCACGUAUUGGAAACUCAAACUUCGGAGGCGAAUUUCAGGAUUCUAAAAUUGUCAAACCUGCGAAAGUUAGGGACAAACAGAUUUGAAAUUUUUUCUGAUUUAUUUUGAUAUAUGAAACGUUGAAAUCGGAGUUCGUAUGCGAAGGUUAUGGCUGUUUUACGAACAUACUUCGAAUUAGAGGACAAAACGGUUCGAAAAUGGGAAAAUUUUGCGGCGGUGGCAAGAAAUUGAUGGAAACGGUGGGGAAAAGAUAUGAACUGGACUCUAACAAGACCUAACCAGCAACAAAACCUCGACCAGGACACAAACUCAACACUGCAGACUCUGAAACUGAAAUAUGCAAAGGCUAUGGCGCGGAAGGGUUGUAGGACAGGAAAACGAUAUGGCACUGGACUUAUGGGACGAACACAAGAACACUCAAUACUAAGGUUAGAUGUGAACCUAACAGUAUACCUGAAGCUUUGAUUACAACUUGAUGAGAACAAGGGUGGCCCGAUCUUCUGAAAGGUUCUCAUAACUCUCGAUUUGGUGAAGACGAGACACAAAUCGAUCUGGCUUCCAAACAACACAAUCCGAAACCCCGCAUUUUUUUAUUUUUUUAAUAUUUUCCUUUUACUUAGGAGCACUAAAGAAGUAACCACAUAAAAUUUGAGCUUAAUCAAGUAAAAGACGUGGCCUGCGGAAUUUUGUGAAGAUUACAAAAAAUGUGAAAAAAACUUCACAAGGUGAAAACUCAAACUUCGAAGACGAAUUUGGAGAUUCUAAAAUUUUCAAACCCCCCAAAACCGAGGACAGACAGACACUAAAUUUUUUUCUGCUCGAUUUUGAUAUAUGGAACAUUGAAAUCGGAGUUUGUAUGUGAAAGUUAUGGCUGUUUUACGAACGGACUCCGAAUUAGAGGACAAAACGGUCCGAAAGUGGGAAAAAGGUUCGGCGAUGGCUAGAAAUUUAUGGAAACGGUGGGAAAAAAAAUACAAACUGGACUCUAACAAGACCUAACCAGCAACAAGACCUCGACCAGGACACAAACUCAAAAUUGCGGACUCAGAAACUGAAAUAUGCAAAGGCUAUGGCGCGAGAGGGUUGUAGGACACAAAAAUGAUAUGGCACUGGACUUAUGGGACAAACAUAAGAACACUCGAAACUAAGGGUAGAUGUGAACCUAACGGUAUACCUGAAGCUUUGAUUACCACUUCAUGAGAACAAGGGUGGCCCGAUCUUCCCAAAGGUUCUGUUAACUCUCGAUUUGGUGGAGACGAGACACAAAUCGAUCCGGCUUCCGAACAACACGAUCCGAAACCCUGCAAUUUUUUUUUAUUUUUUUGAUAUUUUUCUUUUACUUAGGUGCAUUAAAGAAGUAACCACAGAAAAUAUGAGCUUAAACAAGUGAAAGACGUGGCCUGCGGAAUUUUCUAAAUUUUGUGAAAAUGUGAAAAAAACUUCACGAGGUGAAAACUUAAACUUCGGAGGCGUAUUUGGAAAUUCUAAAAUUUUCAAACCCGCUAGUGGUAGGGACAGGUAGAGCCGAAAUUUUUUUCUGAUUGAUUUUGAUAUAUGGAACGUUGAAAUCGGAGUUUGUACGCGAAUGUUAUGGCUAUUUUACGAACGGACUCCGAAUUAGAGAACAAAACGGUCCGAAAGUGGGAAAAAUUUGCGGCGAUGGCUAGAAAUUGAUGAAAACGGUGGGGAAAAACAUACUAACUGAACUCUAACAAGACCUAACCAGCAACAACCUCGAUCAGGACACAAACUCAAAACUGCGGACUCUCAAUCUAAAAUAUGUAAAAGCUAUGGCGCGGAAGGGUUGUAGAACAGGAAAACAAUAUGGCACUGGACUUAUGGGACGAACACAAGAACACUAGAAACUAAGAGUAGAUGUGAACCUAGCGGUAUACCUAAAGCUUUGAUUACCACUUGAUGAGAACAAGGGUGGCCCGAUCUUACGAAAAGUUAUGUUAACUCUCGAUUUGGUGGAGACGAGACACAAAUCGAUACAGCUUCUGAACAACACGAUCCGAAACCCUAUAUUUUUUUUAUUUUUUUGAUAUUUUUAUUUUACUUAGGAGUGCUAAAGGAGUAACCACAGAAAAUUUGAGCUUAAGCAAGUGAAAGACAUGGCCUGUGGAAUUUUCUGAAGAUUGUGAAAAAUGUGAAAAAACUUCACGUAUUGGAAACUCAAACUUCGAAGGCGAAUUUUAGGAUUCUAAAAGUGUCAAACCCGCGAAACUUAGGGACAACCAGAUCUGAAAUUUUUUUCUGAUCGAUUUUGAUAUAUGAAACAUUGAAAUCGGAGUUCGUAUGCGAAAGUUAUGGCUGUUUUACGAACAGACUUCGAAUUAGAGGACAAAACGGUCCGAAAGUGGAAAAAUUUUGCGCCGGUGGCCAGAAAUUGAUGGAAACGGUGCGGAAAACACAUGAACUGGACUCUAACAAGACCUAACCAGCAACAAGACCUCGACUAGGACACAAACUCAACACUGCGGACUCUGAAACUGAAAUAUGCAAAGGCAAUGGCGCGGAAGGGUUGUAGGAAAGGAAAACUAUAUAGCACUGGACUUAUGGAACGAACACAAGAACACUCAAAACUAAGGCUAGAUGUGAACCUAAUGGUAUAUAUGAAGCUUUGAUUACCAUUUGAUGAGAACAAGGGUGGCACGAUCUUCUGAAAGGUUCUAGUAACUCUCGAUUUGGUGAAGACGAGACACAAAUCGAUAUGGCUUCCGAACAACACGAUCCGAAACCCCGCAUUUUUUUUAUUUUUUUAAUAUUUUCCUUUUACUUAGGAGCACUAAAGAAGUAACCACAGAAAAUUUGAACUUAAUCGAGUAAAAGACGUGGGCUGCGGAAUUUUGUGAAGAUUACACAAAAUGUGAAAAAAACUUCACAAGGUGAAAACUCAAACUUCGAAGACGAAUUUGGAGAUUCUAAAAUUUUCAAACCCCCUAAAACCGAGGACAGACAGACACUAUAUUUUUUCUGAUCGAUUUUGAUAUAUGGAACAUUGAAAUCGAAGUUUGUAUGUGAAAGUUAUGGCUGUUUUACGAACGGACUCCGAAUUAGAGGACAAAACGGUCCGAAAGUGGGAAAAUUUUGCGGCGGUGGCAAGAAAUUGAUGGAAACGGUGGGGAAAACACAUGAACUGGACUCUAACAAGACCUAACCAGCAACAAGACCUCGACCAGAACACAAACUCAACACUGCGGACUCUGAAACUGAAAUAUGCAAAGGUUAUGGCGCGGAAGGGUUGUAGGACAGGAAAACGAUAUGGCACUGGACUUAUGGGACGAACACAAGAACACUCAAAACUAAGGGUAGAUGUGAACCUAACGGUAUACCUGAAGCUUUGAUUACCACUUGAUAAGAACAAGGAUGGUCCGAUCUUCUGAAAGGUUCUGGUAACUCUUGAUUUGGUGGAGACGAGACAUAAAUUGAUCCGGCUUCCGAACAACACGAUCCGAAACCCUGCAAAUUUUUUAUUUUUUUGAUAUUUUUCUAUUACUUAGGUGCACUAAAGAAGUAACCAUAGAAAAUUUGAGCUUAAACAAGUGAAAGACGUGGCCUGCAGAAUUUUGUGAAGAUUACAAAAAAUGUGAAAAAAACUUCACAAGGUGAAAACUCAAAAUUCGAAGACGAAUUUGGAGAUUCUAAAAUUUUCAAACCCCCUAAAACCGAGGACAGACAGACACUAUAUUUUUUCUCAUCGAUUUUGAUAUAUGGAACAUUGAAAUCGAAGUUUGUAUGUGAAAGUUAUGGCUGUUUUACGAACGGACUCCGAAUUAGAGGACAAAACGGUCCGGAAGUGGGAAUAAUUUGUGGUGGUGGCUAGAAAUUGAUGGAAAUGGUGGGCAAAAACAUACCAACUAGACUCUAACAAGACCUAACCAGCAACAUCCUCGACCAGGACACAAACUUAAAAUUGCGGACUCUGAAACUGAAAUAUGCAAAGGCUAUUGCGCGGAAGGGUUGUAGGACAAGAAAACGAUAUGGCACUGGACUUAUGGGACGAAUACAAGAACACUCGAAACUAAGGGUAGAUGUGAACCUAACGGUAUACCUGAAGCUUUAUUACCACUUGAUGAAAUCAAGGGUGGCCCGAUCUUUCGACAGGUUCUGGUAACUCUCGAUUUGGUGGAGACGAGACAUAAAUCAAUGCGGCUUCCAAACAACGCGAUCUGAAACCCUGCAAUUUUUUUAUUUUAUUGAUAUUUUUAUUUUACUUAGGAGCAUUAAAGAAGUAACCAUAGAAAAUUUGAGCUUAAACAAGUAAAUGACGUGGCCUGCUGAAUUUUCUGAAGAUUGCGAAAAAUGUGAAAAAAACUUCACAAGGUGAAAACUCAAACUUCGGAGGUGAAUUUGGAGAAUCUAAAACUUUCAAAGCCGCAAAUAGCAGUGACAGACAGAUCCGAAUUUUUUUGAUCGAUUUUGAUAUAUCGAACAUUGAAAUCGGAGUUUGUAUGUGCAAGUUAUGGCUGUUUUACGAACGGACUCCGAAUUAGAGGACAAAACGGUCCGAAAGUGGGAAAAACUUGCAGCGAUGGCUAGAAACUGAUGGAAACGUUGGGGAAAAAACACGAACUGAACUCUAACAAGACCUAACCAGCAACAAGACCUCGACCAGGACACAAACUCAAAACUGCAGACUCGGAAACUGAAAUAUGCAAAGGCUAUGGCGCGGAAGGGUUGUAGGACACAAAAACGAUAUGGCACUGGACUUAUGGGACGAACACAAGAACACUCGAAACUAAGGGUAGAUGUGAACCUAAAUAUAUACCUGAAGCUUUGAUUACUACUUGAUGAGAACAAGGGUGGCCCGAUCUUCCGAAAGGUUCUGUUAACUCUCGAUUUAGUGGAGACGAGACACAAAUCGAUCCGGCUUCCGAACAACACGAAGGCAAACCCUGCAAUUUUUUUAUUUUUUUAUGUUUUUCUUUUACUUAGGUGCACUAAAGAAGUAACCACAGAAAAUUUGAGCUUAAACAAGUGAAAGACGUGGCUUGCAGAAUUUUCUAUAGAUUGUGAAAAAUGUGAAAAAAACUUCACGAGGUGAAAACUUAAACUUCGGAGGUGUAUUUGGAAGUUCUAAAUUUUUCAAACCCGCUUGUGGUAGGGACAGGCAAACCCGAAAUUUUUUCUGAUUGAUUUUGAUAUAUGGAACGUUGAAAUCGGAGUUCGUACGCGAAUGUUAUGGCUAUUUUACAAACGAACUGCGAAUUAGAGUACAAAACGGUCCGAAAGUGGGAAAAAUUUGCGGCGGUGCCCAGAAAUUGAUGGAAACGGUGGGGAAAAACAUACUAACUGGACUCUAACAAGACCUAACCAGCAACAACCUCGACCAGGACACAAACUCAAAACAACGGACUCUGAAUCUGAAAUAUGGAAAAGCUAUGGCGCGGAAGGGUUGUAGAACAGGAAAACAAUAUGGCACUGGACUCAUGGGACGAACAUAAGAACACAAGAAACUAAGGGUAGAUGUGAACCUAACGGUACACCUAAAGCUUUGAUUACCACUUGAUGAGAACAAGGGUGGCCCGAUCUUCCGAAAGGUUUUGGUAACUCUCGAUUUGGUGGAGAUGAGACACAAAUCGAUACGGCUUAUGAACAACACGAUCCGAAACCCUACAUUUUUUUUAUUUUUUUGAUAUUUUUAUUUUACUUAGGAGCACUAAAGGAGUAACCACAGAAAAUUUGAGCUUAAACAAGUGAAAGACAUGGCCUGUUGAAUUUCUCAAGAUUGUGAAAAAUGUGAAAAGAACUUCACGUAUUGGAAACUCAAACUUCGGAGGCGAAUUUCAAGAUUCUAAAAUUGUCAAACACGCAAAAGUGAGGGACAAACAUAUCUCAAAUUUUUUCUUAUCGAUUUUGAUAUAUGGAACGUUGAAAUCGGAGUUCGUAUGCGAAAGUUAUGGCUGUUUUACGAACAGACUCCGAAUUAGAGGACAAAACGAUCCGAAAGUGGGAAUAAUUCGCGGUGGUGGCUAGAAAUUGAUGGAAAUGGUGGGGAAAAACAUACGAACUAGACUCUAACAAGACCUAACCAGCAACAUCCUCGACCAAGACACAAACUCAAAAUUGCGGACUCUGAAACUGAAAUAUGCAAAGGCUAUUGCGCGGAAGGGUUGUAGAACAAGAAAACGAUAUGGCACUGGACUUAUGGGACGAAUACAAGAACACUCGAAACUAAGUGUAGAUGUGAACCUAACGGUAUACCUGAAGCUUUAUUACCACUUGAUGAGAUCAAGGGUGGCCCGAUCUUUCGACAGGUUCUGGUAACUCUCGAUUUGGUGGAGACGAGACACAAAUCAAUGCGGCUUCCAAACAACGCGAUCUGAAACCCUGCAAUUUUUUUAUUUUAUUGAUAUUUUUAUUUUACUUAGGAGCAUUAA
rnacentral:lncRNA from 1 species